rnacentral:rRNA from 1 species
AGCGAACGCUGGCGGCGUGCCUAACACAUGCAAGUCGAACGUGAACGGCUUCGGCCUAGUAAAGUGGCGUACGGGUGAGUAACACGUAGGUAAUCUACCCUAGAGUUCGGAAUAACCAGCCGAAAGGCUGGCUAAUACUGGAUAGAGCGACGGAAUCCGUAAUUGGGUUUUUCGGGUAAGGGAGGCGGCACCGCCCCUCGCUUUAGGAUGAGCCUGCGUCCCAUCAGCUAGUUGGUAGGGUAAUGGCCUACCAAGGCUUUGACGGAUAGCUGGUCUGAGAGGAUGAUCAGCCACACUGGAACUGAAACACGGUCCAGACUCCUACGGGAAACAACAGUGAGGAAUCUUGCGCAAUGGACGAAAGUCUGACGCAGCCACGCCGCGUGAGUGAAGAAGGCCUUCGGGUUGUAAAGCUCUGUCGGAGGGGACGAAAAUGCUCUGGAUGAAUAGCCCAGAGAACUGACGGUACCCUCAAAGGAAGCACCGGCUAACUUCGUGCCAGCCGCCGCAGUAACAC